CAGAGUAUGAAAAGGGAAAGGGAGAGCCUUGGGGGAACCUCUGCUCAGCAUCAGGAACAGAAGGCAGAGCUCAGGAUGACCUUCACCAUGGCCUGGUCCUGUCUCCUCUUCAUAUUCCUUUUUCAGUGCACAGGGUCCUGGGCACACUCAGUGCUGACUCAGCAGCCCUCAAUAUCUGGAACUCCAGGAGAGACAGUCACCAUCUCCUGCAUUGGAAGUAGCAACAAUAUUGGUAGCUAUUAUGUGAACUGGUACCAGCAGAUCCCAGAAAGGGCCCCUAAACUCCUCAUCUAUGAUAAUAGUUAUCGACCCUCAGGAGUCCCUGAUCGCUUCUCUGGCUCCAGAUCUGGCAACUCUGGUUCAUUGAUCAUCACAAACAUACGGCCUGAGGAUGAGGGUGACUAUUACUGUCAGUCUUAUGACAGUAGCCUCAGUUAUCACACAGUGUUCCAGGCUCAUGGAGAAGAAUUCUAA